rnacentral:rRNA from 1 species
GGGCCCGCACAAGCGGUGGAGCAUGUGGUUUAAUUCGAUGCAACGCGAAGAACCUUACCAGGGUUUGACAUCCUGCGAAUCUCUUGGAAACGAGAGAGUGCCUUCGGAACGCAGUGACAGGUGGUGCAUGGCUGUCGUCAGCUCGUGUCGUGCAGAUGUUGGUUAAGUCCCGCAACGAGCGCAACCCACGUCUUUAGUUGCCAGCAUUCAGUUGGGCACUCUAGAGAGACUGCCGGUGAUAAACCGGAGGAAGGUGUGGAUGACGUCAAGUCAUCAUGCCCCUUACAUCCUGGGCUACACACGUACUACAAUGCUACGGACAAAGGGCAGCAAGUUCGCGAGGAC